GACGAACGCUGGCGGCGUGGAUUAGGCAAUGCAAGUCGAACGGUAUCAUCCUUUCGGGGGUGAGAGAGUGGCGAACUGGUGAGUAACACGUAGGUUAUCUACCCUCAAGACGGGGACAACCCAGGGAAACUUGGGCUAAUACCGGAUGUGAGCAACUUUUAGUUGUUUGAAAGGUGGCGUAAGCUGUCGCUUGGGGAUGAGCCUGCGUCCUAUUAGUUAGUUGGUGAGGUAACGGCUCACCUAGGCAAUGAUAGGUAGGCGGCCUUAACGGGUGGUCGCCCACACUGGGAUUGAGAUACGGCCCAGACUCCUACGGGAGGCAGCAGUCGAGAAUAGUCUACAAUGGUCGGAAGACUGAUAGUGCGACGCCGCGUGAACGAUGAAUCCCUUCGGGGUGUAAAGUUCUUUUAUAUGUGAGCAGUGCUUCUUAUAUUAACAGUAUGGGGAGAGAGAUAUUAGCAUAUGAAUAAGCAACGGCUAACUCCGUGCCAGCAGCCGCGGUAAUCU
rnacentral:rRNA from 1 species